UUCUUUCUUUUUUUUUUUUUUUUGGUUUUUUCGAGACAGGGUUUCUCUGUGUAGCCCUGGCUGUCCUGGAACUUACUCUGUAGACCAGGCUGGCUUCAAACUCAGAAAUCUGCCUGCCUCUGCUUCUCGAGUUCUCGAGUGCUGGGAUUAAAGGUGUGUUCCACCACACCCAGUUCGAGGCCCCAUUUCAAAACAAAACUGAACAAAAUCAAAAACCAAACCCAGCCAGGUAUGGUGGCACAUGCCUUUAAUCUCAGCAAGUGGAUCUCUCCGAGUUCAAGGCCAUUCUGUUCUACUUGGUGAGUUGCAAGUCAGCCAGGGCUAUGAGGAGACCCUGUCUCAGAACAAACCCUGGGUUGUGCACACACACUGUCAACAGGCUCUCCCAUUAUCACAGCCCACCGGGAGCCAGGGUAGCACACUCACCUGCAAUCCCACCACUUUGGAGGCUCUGGCAGGAUAGCUAUGGAUUUGAGGCUAGCUUGGGCUAAACAGUGAAUUCUUGGGUAGUCUCAGCAACAGAGUGAGACAGCAAGUGUCUCAAAACAAGACAUAACACAAAGAACCCAAAAAGGAGGAGCAGCAAUGCUGCCUGACCAUUCUGCCUUCCCCACCCAAAGAAAGUUCCACACACAGCCAGACCAAGCCACAGUUAGCAGGGCCAGGCCUGCCUGCCCUGUCUGCAGUUGGUGGGCCAAAGUCUGCUGUCACUAAACCAGGACCCUGUCCUGGGUGGUGCUGAUGCACAUUUUUGAUCCCAGCAUUUGGGAGGGAGAAGCAGGAAGUUCUUUGUGAGUUUGAGGCCAGCCAGUUCUACAAAGCAAGUUCCACAACAGCCAGAGCUACACAGAACCCUGACUCCAAAACAAACACCCAAGACCCUGCUGAGAAGCCUCACCCGCCCAGAGCCAAUGGCUCCUCUCUGGUCUUCUCACCAGGCAUGAUUCGCUACAGAAUCUUCUAGAAGCAUACUUAAAUGACUUCAUCAAGCUUGCUCUAGAAGACACAGGUCCCAUAACCAUACAUAACCUCUGCAGCUACCUGCCAAAGGUCAUUCUCCUGGGGCCAUAGAGUGACCUACCUGCACAGCUAGCUGCUAGCGUGGCCACCAUUUACAGAUGAGGAGACUCAAGGUCUAUGGCUGAGUGAGCAGUGAGGCUGGUCAGUGCUGAGCCUGUCUCAGAACACCUGGAUCCUGGGGCACCUCCUCACAGUUCCCACUUCCAGGGACUGGCUGUGCAGAUAUAUACAGCCUUUGCAGCCAACAGGCAGGAUGUAAGUUUGACAGGAGACUCAAGGAGGAAGUGUGGGCUAGUGAGCUGGUUCAGUAGGUAGAGGUAUUUAAGACAAAGCAUCAUGGUCUGUUUGACUUGUGGAACCCACAUGAUGGAGAGAACUGAAUCCUUUGACCUCUACAUGGGGGUCUGUGGCAGGCACACACACACUCACUCACAUUAGUAUUUUCAUUUUUGGAAGAGGUUAUCACUAUGCAGACAGCCUGACUUCAAACUCUGAGAUCUGCCUGCCUCUUGAGUUCUGGGAUCAAAGACGUGUACCACUGCUGGGUGUGGUGACACACACCUUUAAACCCAGCAUUUAGUGGGCACAGUUUUGAGACUAGCCUGGUCUAAAAAGCAAGUCCAGGACAGUCAGGGGUGUUACACAGAGAAACCCUGUCUUGCAAAACAAACAACCAAAAACCCCAAAGAUGGGUAUCACCAUACCAGGCUUCGUUUGAAACAGGUCUCUUGUGCCCUUAAACUGCUGAUCCUCAAGUGUCUACCUGUCAAGUGCUGGAUUGCAACUGCAUGCCCUUUGUGUCCCUGAGGUGCUGCGGAUGGUCGCAGGACCUUGUACUUGUUAGAAAAGCCCUCCACCAUGGAGCUACAACCCCAGCCCCUCGCUGUCUGAUUCUAGGAAGGCACUACACCUUUGAGCCACAUCCCUAGGUCUUUAGUCUAAGACAAGGUCUGUGUUGCCCAAACUAGUCUCUGACUUCUGACAAUCCUCCUGCCUCAGCUCAGCCCCCCUGGCAGCUGGAUUAUCACCAACGUCUACAUGUGAUUGGAACUGGAUAUUAGUUACUAAGUGAAAACUGGUGCCUGAGACUAAAGGCCCAAAUGGGCUGUGUGUCACCUGGAAUCUCAGCACCCAGGAGCCAAGAGGUGAGGAGAGUGUGGUCAAUCUGAGGCUAACCUGGUCUACACAGAGCUCCAGACCAUCUAGGGACACACAGCAAGACUCUGUAAAAGUCAUAUAAAACCAUGAUGCCUGGAAGACAUUUCCACCGGGAGAGGUGCCAGGCGUGGCUGGCACUGGGGUUUGACAAACCAGAGUGCAGUAGGGGAAGUGCUAGGCUCUCAGGCAGUGUUCUUCAUUUGUGCAAAGGCCUAAGAAGACAACCUCCACUCUGCAGAUGACUAAACUGCUGAGGGGUCGUCAGGGGUCUCUCUUCUCUCAGGUGUCCCCUCCCUCACAGACUCUGCAACUUUGAAAGGUGAAGCCCCAAGCACCCCUGAGAGGAAACAGGGGAGCUGGGCUGUUGUAAACACAGCCCCACCCGGAACGGAAGCACCUGCGGCUGGAGGGGGCCACACCUCUCAACAAUUGGCUUUAGAUUCCUCAGGGUCCCUGUCCCCUGUAGCUCUGGGGCUCGCCCCUCCUCUGCUUAGUGGCUCUACUCCUGGGUGGCUGGCAGGCACCCAGCUUGGGCGGUGCCCCUCCUGACCUGUCCCUGCCCCUUCCUGCUCGCUUUGAUGCAGGCCCACUUCCUUUGACAGGAACCCCCUCCCUCAGCAGCCUGGUUAAAUGCAGAAGGCCGUGGUGAAGCAGUGCUUUCCGCAGCAUCUCUUGCAGGCAGAGGACUCUUCUCAAUGCCCUGUCUCCCAACCCUUGUACCAGUGCUGUGCCUCAGACCCUGGUACAGGCCUGGGGGAUAGGGACUUGGGAACCCCAGCAGCAACAACUCCAGCUUCUCCCUCCAGCCAAGGGACUUUUCCCCAGGUUUGGCCUACAUACAGGGGAUGCCUUGGGUCCCUUCCUAAGUGGGUGUUCCCAUCACUCCAACAUCCAUCCUGGACAACCUGGGGCCUUCUUCUCAUCUCACUGCUGAAGGGUUCCUGUCCUUGUUGGCCCUGUCCCUGGACAUAAGCCAGAGGGGAGGCAGUGGCUACAGGGGUUCAAGCAGAUCAUGAUACUCAAGUUGGAGAACUUGCCCCUUCCUAGGUGUCUUCACCUGCAAGUUCCCAGACGUUCACACAGCAGUCUACACACUCCUGGACCCCACACUGCUCUGCCCAUGGGACACCUCCAGCCUAGCCAGUGACUGUCUUGUCUAGAGUCAUUAUCCCAAGCUACCAGAGUCACCUGAAACAGGGGGACAGGUGCACAGACAUGUUCUUGUGACGCUUCUCAAAGCGAUUGUACUUUCGGAUGUAAUGGAGAUAGUCCCGGCGGAUGACAAUGGUCCUCUGCAUCUUCAUCUUCGUCACGACACCUGGGAGAGUAACAGAAAGGUGUUAGCAGGUAGGAGUCAGUUGAACGGGGCUCCCAAGAAGCUCCAUUUAUGGCAUCAGCUUUGUCAACUGGCUGUCUCAGCAGUGCCCUAGAGGACAUCUGAAGACCAUCGUGAGAACAGACAUCACUUGCCAGCGCCCCUGGACGCAGGAACCUAGAACCACCCUUCCAACAUCCCACUCACCAGACAGGAUCCGACCUCGGAUGGAGACGUUACCAGUGAAGGGGCAUUUCUUGUCUAUGUAGGUACCCUCAAUAGCCUGCAAAGUUAAGAAAGUGGGGUUUAGAUUACCACUUCCUAAACAGAACCAAGGAUGACGCCUCAGGGCCCAUACUACAAUUCCCAGGGGCCCAUGGGAAGCCACUGUGAAGGGGGCGGGGUGGCUGUGCUCCCACACGUGCAGGGCAGCAGGGAUCUCAUCUGCUGGAGGGUCCUGUACCUCUUUAGGCGUCUUGAAGCCUAGACCGAUAUUCUUGUAGUACCGAGGGAGUUUUUCCUUGCCGGUUUCUCCCAGCAGAACCCGCUUCUUGUUUUGAAAGAUCGUAGGCUGCUUUUGGUAAGCACGCUCCGUCUGUAGGGAUGAGAAUUUGGUGAGGUUGCAGGUAAAGUUCAAGGAAAUCAGAGACAAUAUUUCUUCCUUCCUACCUUCAACCUUAUUUGCCCCAAUCGCCAAAACCGGCUGGUCAGGGCUCUCCAACCACCCCAAGUCUAGUUUAGCUCACACACUGCGUCCCAUCUAACACCUCCACAGCCUGCAGAACUCACGGCUGAGAUCAAAAAGAGCUUUUCAGCCAGACUGGACCUCCAAAACAUACAAAUCCACUCAUUCGGGAUUCAAGCUUAUGUCCACGUAGCCGAGCCUGGUGGGCCGGAUCUGUCAUCCCGGUUGAGGUUGAGGCAGGAUGGCAAGUUUAAGACAAGCCUAAGCUCAUCGAGGCCAGAGCUGCGCUCACACUGAAAACUACAGCGAGGUCGGGACCGCAGCCCUGCCGUAGAGCGCACGAGGUCCGGGCCUCAGUCUCCAUCAAGGGGAAAAAACCUGCUUUACCCAGUGUCCCCGGCUCUGCCGCCGCAGGACUCCCGCGCCGCAGGAUGCCCUCCUCCCGCCACAAUCCCUCACCCGUUAAGCUCUGAGCUUUAAGAACCAACUCCCGAAGCGCCAGGGACCCCAUUACUGCGUAGAGCCCGGAUUUCCGAGCCGCCUGAGACGAAGGCAUUCGCAGGCAUCCUCGCUUCAGCUAAUGCGUAAGACAACGAGGACGCCAAGGGAUACGCUCCACACCGAAGCGUCGGGGGAAAGCAACUAAACGCUCGAACCUGAAUGUCCGCCAUCUUCCCGGCCGCCGGAGAAAGGGAGAGGCAGGGCCGCUCCCGGCUUCCUUAUUCACCACGCGAGGUCGGGGCGGAAGUGACGCGGGGUUAUCCUCACGGAGGUGGGAGGUACUUCCGGCGAGAGCCCGCGUUCCUGGGACUGUCCGUACGCCGCCAUGACGGGGGAGGACUAAGGGGCGGGAAGAUCCUAUCAUCUCGCGAGAUUUCAGGAGCACGAUGUGGAGGAAACGUGCAUCAUGUGGUACGGCGAGGCUUAGGGCGGAGAAGGCGUGCCGUACGGGUUGGGAAACACGUGCUGGGAUUCAGUUUCCAGAGAGAAGCGGCCGUGCAGAGCGGGUCUCAAGAAAGGGGUGAACCGCUUUACAGCAGAGUAUCUGCCAUACGAUGUCAGGAGCAGCCAGCGUCGACCGAAUAGUCAACCUUUCUUCCUUUUAUUAAAGGCCGACGUCACCAAG